UGCAAGUACAGCUGAAAUGCAUUGCCCUGAAUUACCUCUGUUUCAAAAGGCAGGUGGGUCUUGGUGCUCUAGAGUGGGAGAAAUUGUAGUGCAGCUUGAUCCCUUCUGUUGAGUGCCACUAAAAACAUUCAUCUGCAACAGAGGAAUCUUUACUUUUUCAAGACUGCUUGAAUGCUUUGAGGAUAUAUAACCCCAACAAUUUUAGAUGAUAACCACAGGUAAGUCCUUUGAGAGCUUUUCACUGUUGCAUGAAUGGGGUUCAGGGGCCAGGCAAAAACAUCUCUGAUGUAGGAAGACCUUAAAAUACUGUGAUAAUAUGUUUGUAUCUGUCUAGGUUUGUAAACUUCCUAAAUCCAGAGCUAAGUAUUCACAAGGAACACUGUAAUUGCCAGCCAGACUUAGUGCCUAAAAACCUUAUCUAAUCCUGGCUUUUUUACACAGAUCUAUUAACUUGAUCUGGGUGGUUUGUUAUGUUUUGUGCUUUUCCCCUACUCACUUGUGGGACCAGAAAUUAUACAUAUUAUCUCUAGAAGAGACCAUAAAAUGAUAUAGUGGAACCUUGUGUGUAACUCAAUUAAAGACAUUUCAUUCCAGCAUUCCUACAUCAAACACAGUAACUAUGGGAUAUCUUCCAGUCUUUGUGUCGGCAGAGAUCACUUAAAAACUCCACCUUUGUCUCUGCAGCUGUCCUUUGAAGAGGAGGUACAUGGAGGAUGCUAGGAAUUUGCCUUUCACCUUGGGAGCUGCAGGAGAGACUGGGCAUUCAUCUCUGGUCUGGAAUGGAUCUUGGAGCACCUGAUCUGUGCAUCCAUGUGCCCUAUUCCCUCAGGAAGGACUACUUACCCCGCCUGUGGACUGGGCUUCCUAGGAACGUCAGGCAGCUGGCAGGACUUCUGUGGUGCCCAGCUACUGGGAGACUUGUGUUCUGGGGGAGUGUCUGGCUGCUGCAUGUGCGAUGGAGCUGGGCUCUGUGUGUCUGCUGUAUCCUCAGCCUUACGGCAAGGAAGGGCUGUGAGGGCCUGGGAGAGUAG
rnacentral:lncRNA from 1 species